AUAGACCCAGCGGAGAUUUUGAAUGUCAGAUUUCACAUAGGGGGGGAAUUUGCUCAAAUUGGCCCCUCUCUGGACUAUGUUGGGGAUACGACUUACUCAGAGAUUGAGAGGGACAAGUUGUCCUUGCAGGAGGUGAAGGGGUUUCUUAGGGAUCAUAUGGCACUGAAGGAAAGCAUGAAGUUUUACUUCCUUUUGCCUGGCAGAGAAUUGGUUAAUGGUCUACUAUUUUUGUAUGAUGAUGAGGGUUGCCUAAAAAUGUCAGAGUAUAUUACUGUUGGUGGAGUAGCUGAUAUAUAUGUGGAAUACAAUGGGGAAGAAGAUUCAAAAGGAGAAGAGGAAAGUGGCUCUGAUUUUGCAAAUGAAAUUCAGGAUUAUGCAAGUGAAGAGGAUGUUCCUCUUGUCAUGACUGCAGAACAUGAAGAUAUUGACAAUGCAGGUACAAAACUUGAUGGCAUUGGC
rnacentral:rRNA from 1 species